rnacentral:sRNA from 1 species
UUAUAAACCCGAUCGUCAGCGGUACGAAGGCUUUUUCAGCCGAGUUUAGCAGAGAGCGGGACUGAAA